AGGAGACAUGAAGCAGCAAGGCUAUAAGCAGGAAUGCUGUGUAAGGCUUGAACCAGCCCCUAUAGAAAUAGGGUAUUGACUUGCCUCUGUGGACUCCCUGAGAUCACUCUAUGCUUCAGCUUAGUGCUCUGGAAAAGUUUUGGACUGACCACUCUGGAAAAUGAAGUUCUCUAAUCUGGUCACAAACUGGCAUUUGCAUGGCAAAGCCUAAAACCCCUGCUAUCUUCAAGUAGUCAACUGCUUCUGGCCACCACACCUCCUACCUACUCCAGAGGCUAAAUCUGUGCUCCAGAUCUCUCUGAAACUCUGUGACUGAUAGAACGUGUGGAGUCUUCCUGAAUCUGUUUAGCCACCCACUGUGGUCUUUUCCACACAAGGGCCUGAUCUGGCCCCAUGCGUCCACUGUAAUCCUUUCCCAAGAUAACAUUUGAAAAUGUAUUGGAUCCUCACUUUGGAUGAAGCUUCAAAACUUGAAAACAAUUUACAUUUAAACACAUGGUACUUCACUGUAUGCUCCUGUGGUAUAAGGGUACAUUUACCCUUAUUUACCCAGAUGUAAAUAGUAGGUGUGCUGGCAAUAUUAUUUGCUGUGUACCUAUAUACACAUGCAUAUAUUAAAAUAUAUACACACACAGCAGAGGGGACAUAUACUGUGCAUACAUCUAGAUGCAUAUAGUGCAUACAGAAUUAGAGACAGUAUGUGUGUUAUUACAGUAUAUAUCCAGGUAUUGCAGGUGUAUUGUAAUGUUUAUAAUACAGUAAGCUGGGAUUCUUUCACACAUGCCUGUGUGCGUGCGCACACACACAGCUGGGGAACUGUGUUGCUGAUUUGUUAGCUAUAGGGAAGUUGACCGAAAUUUCAUUUAUGUUCAUAGAAACAGGCUUUGUUGUAUUAUAUUAAUAUUUGUAUGACGAAUAAGCACUAAAAUUAAAUACAGUCUGGUGAAUUGUAACUUUUGUUCUAAAGAUUAUAUUGUAUAAAUAUGCCUACAUUAAACCAUUCAGUUUAAAUGUU